AUGAAGGACCGGUCACUUGCCCUCCCCGCUCGGAGCCGCUGUUGCUGCCACCGCUGCCGCCGUCCCUGCCGCCGCCGCCGCCGCCGCCGGGCUCGUCGCGGCUCCGCCACAGGGGCAGGUGCGGAAGGCCUGCCGGUCCGGCCGCCGCCGUUUCCCCGCUCCGGCCCGGGGCUCCCCCUAGCGCCGCUGAGGAGCUGCCGUCGCGGCUCGAGGAGGGCGGAGGAGCGGCCCCGAGCGCCCGGAGCCUCGAGGGAGGAUAGAAGGACAAGGACAGAAUCACCAGCACUGGCUGAAGAUGCCCAGCCUACAGAGUCUGAGAAGGAAAUUUAUAACCAGGUGAAUGUAGUAUUGAAAGAUGCUGAAGGCAUCUUGGAGGAUUUACAGUCCUACAGAGGAGCUGGCCAUGAAAUACGAGAGGCAAUCCAACAUCCAGCAGAUGAAAAGUUGCAAGAGAAGGCCUGGGGUGCAGUUGUUCCAUUAGUAGGCAAGCUAAAGAAAUUUUAUGCGUUUUCUCAGAGGUUAGAAGCUGCAUUAAGAGGCCUUCUGGGAGCCUUGACCAGUACCCCAUAUUCACCCACCCAGCAUCUAGAGCGAGAGCAGGCUCUUGCUAAACAGUUCGCAGAAAUUCUUCACUUCACCCUCCGCUUUGAUGAACUCAAGAUGACAAAUCCUGCCAUACAGAAUGAUUUCAGCUACUGAAGAAGAACGUUGAGUCGAAUGAGGAUUAAUAAUGUGCCAGCAGAAGGAGAAAAUGAAGUGAAUAAUGAAUUGGCAAAUCGAAUGUCUUUAUUUUACGCUGAGGCAACCCCGAUGCUGAAAACCUUAAGUGACGCUACAACAAAGUUUGUAUCCGAGAAUAAAAAUUUACCAAUAGAAAAUACCACUGACUGUUUAAGCACCAUGGCUAGUGUAUGCAGAGUCAUGCUGGAAACGCCGGAGUACAGAAGCAGAUUUACCAAUGAAGAGACAGUGUCAUUCUGCUUGCGGGUAAUGGUGGGAGUCAUAAUCCUGUACGACCACGUACAUCCAGUGGGAGCAUUUGCCAAAACAUCCAAGAUUGAUAUGAAAGGUUGUAUCAAAGUUCUUAAGGACCAGCCUCCUAAUAGCGGAGAAGGUCUUCCAAAUGCUCUCAGGUACACGACAAAACAUUUGAAUGACGAGACUACCUCCAAGCAGAUCAAAUCCAUGCUGCAAUAACAGCUCUGGAGUAAGCACCUGCCGUAGCGAGAAGACAGUGUUCUGCAGUGACUGAGAAUGCACAGUUUUUUAGGGAUUGCAAUUACUA